GACGAACGCUGGCGGCGUGCUUAACACAUGCAAGUCGAACGGAAAGGCCCUGCUUUUGUGGGGUGCUCGAGUGGCGAACGGGUGAGUAACACGUGAGUAACCUGCCCUUGACUUUGGGAUAACUUCAGGAAACUGGGGCUAAUACCGGAUAGGAGCUCCUGCUGCAUGGUGGGGGUUGGAAAGUUUCGGCGGUUGGGGAUGGACUCGCGGCUUAUCAGCUUGUUGGUGGGGUGGUGGCUUACCAAGGCUUUGACGGGUAGCCGGCCUGAGAGGGUGACCGGACAAUAGGGGAGGGUGAGGAGGCCCAGCCCCCACGGGGGGGGGAGGGGGGGGAGUGGUGAACAAGGGGGGGAGGGCUGGAGCAGCACCCCCGGGGGGGGGGUGGGGGGCUGGGGGUGUGAAACCGUUUUCCCCGUGGACGGAGGGGGGGGGGGGGGAAGGGGUAAAGAAGCACCGGCUAACUCCGUC
rnacentral:rRNA from 1 species